UUUCCGUAGGUGAACCUGCGGAAGGAUCAUUAUCGUACAAUAUGUGAGGGGCAUUCGAGGGCUGUAGCUGACCCAAAAGGCGUGCCCGCCCGAGUGUGUCCUUUUGCAUAAUAAUCCAUCUCACCCUUUGUGCAUCACCGCGUGGGCACCCUUCGGGAUCAUCUCGGUGGUGGGCUCGCGUUUUCACACAAACCCCCCUUUUAAAAGUGUAGAAUGACCACAUUUAUGCAAUCAAUACAACUUUCAACAACGGAUCUCUUGGCUCUC
rnacentral:misc_RNA from 1 species